rnacentral:rRNA from 1 species
GUGGGGAAUAUUGCGCAAUGGGGGAAACCCUGACGCAGCAACGCCGCGUGAGUGAUGAAGGCUUUCGAGUCGUAAAACUCUGUCUUUGGGGACGAAUAAUGACGGUACCCAAGGAGGAAGCCCCGGCUAACUACGUGCCAGCAGCCGCGGUAAUACGUAGGGGGCGAGCGUUGUCCGGAAUCACUGGGCGUAAAGGGCGCGUAGGCGGUUUGUUAAGUCAGGUGUGAAAGUUUUCAGCUUAACUGGAAAAGUGCACUUGAAACUAACUUACUUGAGUACUGGAGAGGUAAGCGGAAUUCCUAGUGUAGCGGUGAAAUGCGUAGAUAUUAGGAAGAACACCGGUGGCGAAGGCGGCUUACUGGACAGAGACUGACGCUGAGGCGCGAAAGCGUGGGGAGCGAACAGGAUUAGAAACCCUGGUAGUCC